GACGAACGCUGGCGGCGUGCUUAACACAUGCAAGUCGAACGGAAAGGCCCUGCUUUUGUGGGGUGCUCGAGUGGCGAACGGGUGAGUAACACGUGAGUAACCUGCCCUUGACUUUGGGAUAACUUCAGGAAACUGGGGCUAAUACCGGAUAGGAGCUCCUGAUGCAUGGUGGGGGUUGGAAAGUUUCGGCGGUUGGGGAUGGACUCGCGGCUUAUCAGCUUGUUGGUGGGGUAGUGGCUUACCAAGGCUUUGACGGGUAGCCGGCCUGGGAGGGUGAACGGCCACAUUGGGACUGAGAGACGGACCAGACUCCUACGGGAGGCAGCGGUGGGGAGUAUUGCGCAAUGGGCGGAAGCCUGAUGCAGCAACGCCGCGUGCGGGAUGACGGCCUUCGGGUUAUAAACCGCUUUCGCCUGUGACGAGGCGUGAGUGACGGUAAUGGGUAAAGAAGCACCGGCUAACUACGUG
rnacentral:rRNA from 1 species